UAGGGAAUCUUCGGCAAUGGACGAAAGUCUGACCGAGCAACGCCGCGUGAGUGAAGAAGGUUUUCGGAUCGUAAAACUCUGUUGUUAGAGAAGAACAAGGACGUUAGUAACUGAACGUCCCCUGACGGUAUCUAACCAGAAAGCCACGGCUAACUACGUGCCAGCAGCCGCGGUAAUACGUAGGUGGCAAGCGUUGUCCGGAUUUAUUGGGCGUAAAGCGAGCGCAGGCGGUUUCUUAAGUCUGAUGUGAAAGCCCCCGGCUCAACCGGGGAGGGUCAUUGGAAACUGGGAGACUUGAGUGCAGAAGAGGAGAGUGGAAUUCCAUGUGUAGCGGUGAAAUGCAUAGAUAUAUGGAGGAACACCAGUGGCGAAGGCGGCUCUCUGGUCUGUAUCUGACGCUGAGGCUCGAAAGCGUGGGGAGCAAACAGG
rnacentral:rRNA from 1 species